rnacentral:lncRNA from 1 species
GGAUGCCAUAUGAUAUGUGUGCUUCACAAUUAACUAUAUGACAUAAAGCGAAGCUCACAUUUAUGUGGUUGACCUCAACAACAUCAUGCUUUGCAUUGCUCUCUCUCUCACUCUCACUUCAAGGUGAACAAACUCCUUUUGUUGGAAGAAAUGCUUUCGUAGGUGGAUGAACUUUGCAAAUUCUGUUAUAAACUGCGGCCUUCACUUAGAUUUUUGAGUUUGCUUUUUCUAACUCUGAUAAAUGUUAAUUCUAAAACUUUUUCAUAGAACUAAUGUAUAAUAUUAAACAUCUAAAGUAAACAGCAAGCAUCAUAGUACAGCAUUUAAUAUUCCAUCUUGACUUUUUCAGAAAUGUGUCAAACCUUUUAAACUCAUUCAUUGGUGAUGUCCUAUGGUAAGCUACACUCUGCCAUCCCCUACACGGCUAGACUUGAAAAAUAGUUGUCUUAGAUGAAAGGUAUUUAAUGAUAUUAGGUUUAGAAAUCUAUAAGUUCUUUUAUUAAGGGUCACCGUGCCGGUACAUGGGCCUAUACCAGUUGUCAUGUGGCACGGUUUGGUACACCCCCAUGUCAUUCCAUGCCAUGCCCAUACCGACAUAGCCGAAAGAGCGGGGGAGAGGAAAAAUGGGAGAGAGGAAGAGUGUUAGAGGAGGGAGGGAGAGAGUGAGAAGGCCAUGGAGCGUGGUCCAACACGGUAGAGAGGAAGGGGGAGAGGGAGAAUGGG